UACGUAGGUGGCAAGCGUUGUCCGGAAUUAUUGGGCGUAAAGAGCUCGUAGGCGGUCUGUCGCGUCGGCUGUGAAAUCCCGGAGCUCAACUCCGGGUCUGCAGUCGAUACGGGCAAACUGGAGUACUGCAGGGGAGACUGGAAUUCCUGGUGUAGCGGUGAAAUGCGCAGAUAUCAGGAGGAACACCGGUGGCGAAGGCGGGUCUCUGGGCAGUAACUGACGCUGAGGAGCGAAAGCGUGGGGAGCGAACAGG
rnacentral:rRNA from 1 species